rnacentral:rRNA from 1 species
UGGGGAAUAUUGGACAAUGGGCGCAAGCCUGAUCCAGCAAUGCCGCGUGUGUGAAGAAGGCCCUCGGGUUGUAAAGCACUUUUAUCAGGAGCGAAAUCUGCAAGGCUAAUACCCUUGUAGUCUGACGGUACCUGAGGAAUAAGCACCGGCUAACUCCGUGCCAGCAGCCGCGGUAAUACGGAGGGUGCAAGCGUUAAUCGGAAUUACUGGGCGUAAAGCGUGUGUAGGCGGUUUGUUAAGUCUGUUGUGAAAGCCCCGGGCUCAACCUGGGAAUGGCAAUGGAUACUGGCAAGCUAGAGUGUGAUAGAGGAUGGUGGAAUUCCCGGUGUAGCGGUGAAAUGCGUAGAGAUCGGGAGGAACAUCAGUGGCGAAGGCGGCCAUCUGGAUCAACACUGACGCUGAGACACGAAAGCGUGGGGAGCAAAACAGGAUUAGAUACCCUGGUAGUCCACGCCCUAAACGAUGCGAACUGGAUGUUGGUCUCAACUCGGAGAUCAGUGUCGAAGCUAACGCGUUAAGUUCGCCGCCUGGGGAGUACGGUCGCAAGACUGAAACUCAAAGGAAUUGACGGGGUCAUAGCUGUUUCCUG